rnacentral:rRNA from 1 species
UACGAAGGGGGCUAGCGUUGCUCGGAAUCACUGGGCGUAAAGGGCGCGUAGGCGGCCUUCUUAGUCGGACGUGAAAUCCCCAGGCUUAACUUGGGAACUGCGUCCGAUACUGGGAGGCUUGAGUGCGGGAGAGGGAUGUGGAAUUCCAGGUGUAGCGGUGAAAUGCGUAGAUAUCUGGAGGAACACCGGUGGCGAAGGCGGCAUCCUGGACCGACACUGACGCUGAGGCGCGAAAGCUAGGGGAGCAAACGGG